UGCUACCUGAUUCAGCGGCGGACGGGUGAGUAAAGCCUAGGAAUCUGCCCGAUAGUGGGGGACAACGUUUCGAAAGGAACGCUAAUACCGCAUACGUCCUACGGGAGAAAGUGGGGGAUCUUCGGACCUCACGCUAUCGGAUGAGCCUAGGUCGGAUUAGCUAGUUGGUGAGGUAAUGGCUCACCAAGGCGACGAUCCGUAACUGGUCUGAGAGGAUGAUCAGUCACACUGGAACUGAGACACGGUCCAGACUCCUACGGGAGGCAGCAGUGGGGAAUAUUGGACAAUGGGCGAAAGCCUGAUCCAGCCAUGCCGCGUGUGUGAAGAAGGUCUUCGGAUUGUAAAGCACUUUAAGUUGGGAGGAAGGGCAGUAAGCUAAUACCUUGCUGUUUUGACGUUACCAACAGAAUAAGCACCGGCUAACUUCGUGCCAGCAGCCGCGGUAAUACGAAGGGUGCAAGCGUUAAUCGGAAUUACUGGGCGUAAAGCGCGCGUAGGUGGUUCAGCAAGUUGGAUGUGAAAUCCCCGGGCUCAACCUGGGAACUGCAUCCAAAACUACUGAGCUAGAGUACGGUAGAGGGUGGUGGAAUUUCCUGUGUA
rnacentral:rRNA from 1 species